rnacentral:rRNA from 1 species
GUGGGGAAUAUUGGACAAUGGGCGAAAGCCUGAUCCAGCCAUGCCGCGUGUGUGAAGAAGGUCUUCGGAUUGUAAAGCACUUUAAGUUGGGAGGAAGGGCAGUAAGUUAAUACCUUGCUGUUUUGACGUUACCGACAGAAUAAGCACCGGCUAACUUCGUGCCAGCAGCCGCGGUAAUACGAAGGGUGCAAGCGUUAAUCGGAAUUACUGGGCGUAAAGCGCGCGUAGGUGGUUUUGUAAGUUGGAGGUGAAAUCCCCGGGCUCAACCUGGGAACUGCCUCCAAAAAUUCAUGACUAGAGUACAGUAGAGGGUAGUGGAAUUUCCUGUGUAGCGGUGAAAUGCGUAGAUAUAGGAAGGAACACCAGUGGCGAAGGCGACUACCUGGACUGAUACUGACACUGAGGUGCGAAAGCGUGGGGAGCAAACAGGAUUAGAAACCCUAGUAGUCC